rnacentral:rRNA from 1 species
GAUGAACGCUGGCGGCGUGCCUAAUACAUGCAAGUCGAGCGAACGGACGAGAAGCUUGCUUCUCUGAUGUUAGCGGCGGACGGGUGAGUAACACGUGGAUAACCUACCUAUAAGACUGGGAUAACUUCGGGAAACCGGAGCUAAUACCGGAUAAUAUUUUGAACCGCAUGGUUCAAAAGUGAAAGACGGUCUUGCUGUCACUUAUAGAUGGAUCCGCGCUGCAUUAGCUAGUUGGUAAGGUAACGGCUUACCAAGGCAACGAUGCAUAGCCGACCUGAGAGGGUGAUCGGCCACACUGGAACUGAGACACGGUCCAGACUCCUACGGGAGGCAGCAGUUGGGAAUCUUCGGCAAUGGGCGAAAGCCUGACGGAGCAACGCCGCGUGAGUGAUGAAGGUCUUCGGAUCGUAAAACUCUGUUAUUAGGGAAGAACAUAUGUGUAAGUAACUGUGCACAUCUUGACGGUACCUAAUCAGAAAGCCACGGCUAACUACGUG